ensembl:piRNA 21ur-2854 ncRNA
UAAUCUACAAAGCAGGGAAAA